UACGUAGGGGGCAAGCGUUGUCCGGAUUUAUUGGGCGUAAAGCGCACGCAGGCGGUCUUGUAAGUUUCGAGUGACAGGUGGUGGCUUAACUGCCACAGGCCUUGGAAACUGCAAGACUUGAGGACUUCAGAGGGAUGCGGAAUUCCAGGUGGAGCGGUGAAAUGCGUAGAGAUCGGGAGGAACACCAGAGGCGAAGGCGGCGACCUGGACAGUGACUGACGCUGAGACGCGAAAGCGUGGGGAGCAAACAGGAUUGAGACUACC
rnacentral:rRNA from 1 species